GCUGAUUAUUCUGUGAUGGUUGAUCUCGAGCAAAGGACUUGUUCUUGCCGUCUUUGGCAAAUUGACGGUUUUCCUUGCACACAUGCGGUGGCUGCAAUCCUAGCAAAGAGAGAUUCAGUUUAUGAUUACGUGGAGUGUUACUACAAAACCGACUUCUUUUGAAAAGCCUAUGAGAGUCCUAUUUUUCCUAUUCCAGAUAUUGGGAAAGGAUUGGGCAGCAAUGGUUCUGCAGCUGGAGUUGUGCUUCCGCCAAUUACAAAGAGGCCAGCCGGAAGACCACCAACAAAGAGGAUCAAAGUUUUUGGUGAAUUUAAAAGGCCAUUGAAAUGCAGUCGGUGCAGUGUUGCUGGGCACAAUAGGAAGACUUGCAAGGCUAUUAUAUGAACACUCCUUCUCAUUUGACAAUUUUUUAUUUUAGAUAUGGUUUAGCG
rnacentral:lncRNA from 1 species